GACGUAGGGGGCGAGCGUUAUCCGGAAUCACUGGGCGUAAAGCGCACGUAGGCGGCUUUCUAAGUCAGGGGUGAAAUCCUGGAGCUCAACUCCAGAACUGCCUUUGAUACUGGAGAGCUUGAGUCCGGGAGAGGUGAGUGGAACUCCGAGUGUAGAGGUGAAAUUCGUAGAUAUUCGGAAGAACACCAGUGGCGAAGGCGGCUCACUGGCCCGGUACUGACGCUGAGGUGCGAAAGCGUGGGGAGCAAACAGG
rnacentral:rRNA from 1 species